rnacentral:rRNA from 1 species
UACAGAGGUGGCAAGCGUUGUUCGGAAUUACUGGGCGUAAAGGGCGCGUAGGCGGUCCCGUCAGUCCCUUGUGAAAUCCCCCGGCUCAACUGGGGAACUGCAAGGGAUACAGCGGGGCUUGAGUUCGGGAGAGGGAAGCGGAAUUCCGGGUGUAGCGGUGAAAUGCGUAGAUAUUAGGAGGAACACCGGUGGCGAAGGCGCCGCUCUGGGCCGAAACUGACGCUGAGGAGCGAAAGCAUGGGUAGCAAACAGG